GCGGGAGUGUAUCAUCUUUGUCAGUGCAGGUAGUGCAGUGCAGUCAGCGCGGGGUUGUCAGCGCAGUCGGUGCAGCGCAGUCAGCGCGAGGUUGUCAACGCAGAUCACUUGAGUCUUCCCAGCACAGUCGCAGGGAAUCGUGUAUGCUUAAUUGACACGGGAGAGCAGCACAGCGCUGACUUCACACCACACACCACUAGUUGAACAAAGAGAACGCUGUUCAACUAGACUAGGGGGGAGUAGCUGAUGAGGACUGUAAUUCCCAUCAGCGCUGUGCUUAGCAAUCUAAGCCUAUUUUACCUUAUUA